GGCACUCUGGGAAGGCAACCUAGGAAGGGUGGGGCCCUGGGGCCUUUUGAGGAGCUAAGUGGCCAAGGAGAGUGCUUUGUGAGUCUCUUGUUGGAAGGACUGUCUUUAAAUUAAAGCAAUUAGAGUUACUUUAUAAGAUUUACCCAAAUAUAAGAGCUGAAGAGAAUAAUUCAAAUUGAUCAGAAGAAAAUACUCAAUUACUGACAAAUGUCAAUUACAUCAAUAGAUACAGAAUACUAAUGAAGAACACCAGCUUUGGAAUUAGACCUACCUUGGAAUCACAGCUUAGCCACCUCUUUGUGUGAUAUUCAUCGAGCCUAGGCUGCUCUUGAACUCCUGGGCUCAAACGAUCCUCCCCUGUCGGCCUCCCAAAGUGCUGGGAUUACAAGCUUGAACCACCAUGCCCAGCCUCAGAAAUUUUUUAAAUGACAGCUCAUACAGUUUUCUUUUAUAAAGGAGGAGAAAAUGUGUAAUUGUAAGCAGCUGAACUAAAAUAUCUCUGUGACAUUUUGCUGGUGACUCCAGCCCUGUGAGAUCUGAGUGGCUCAGGAAUCAAAUUCUCCCACAAACCUGAGGAAGCCUUUUAUUCUUAAUGCCAACAGGAUGCCCCAUGCCCAGAAUGUCAAAUCUGAACACCAAUGGAAUGCAUUUUAUAAACAAAUUGAAAAAGGACAAUCUUUAACAGAAUUGUUGUUCUCUAGGCAGAUUAGUUGUGCUUCAAAUACAAAAUGAAAUAUUAGAGAACAAAAUUAUUUUUAAACAGCUAAUACUAGUAGAAAAUAAAAGGCUGAAAAGUGCUAUAA
ensembl:lncRNA LINC02436 long intergenic non-protein coding RNA 2436